UUGGGAAUAUUGCGCAAUGGGGGAAACCCUGACGCAGCGACGCCGCGUGCGGGAUGAAGGCCUUCGGGUUGUAAACCGCUUUUGAUUGGGAGCAAGCUUUCGGGUGAGUGUACCUUUCGAAUAAGCGCCGGCUAACUACGUGUCAGCAGCCGCGGUAAUACGUAGGGCGCAAGCGUUAUCCGGAAUUAUUGGGCGUAAAGAGUUUGUAGGCGGUUCGUCGCGUCUGGUGUGAAAGCCCAUCGCUUAACGGUGGGUUUGCGCCGGGUACGGGCGGGCUAGUGUGCAGUAGGGGAGACUGGAAUUCCCGGUGUAACGGUGGAAUGUGUAGAUAUCGGGAAGAACACCAAUGGCGAAGGCAGGUCUCUGGGCUGUUACUGACGCUGAGAAGCGAAAGCGUGGGGAGCGAACAGG
rnacentral:rRNA from 1 species